rnacentral:pre_miRNA from 1 species
AGGAGGAACAGCCCCAGUGGCGGGGCAGCUCUGGAGCCCUGGAUUCAGCUCCGGCAGGAACUCCGUCUGCAGGGCCUGGAGGCUCCCGGGCGGG